GGGCGCGGUGGCUCAAGCCUGUAAUCCCAGCACUUUGGGAGGCCGAGACGGGCGGAUCACAAGAGGGUCACCAUGAAGUUCAAUCCCUUCGUGACGUCGGACCGCAGCAAAAACCGGAAACAUCACUUCAAUGCCCCCUCACACGUGCGCAGGAAGAUCAUGUCAUCCCCGCUCUCCAAGGAGCUGCGGCAGAAGUACAAUGUCCGCUCCAUGCCCAUCCGCAAGGACGACGAGGUCCAGGUAGUUCGAGGACACUACAAAGGUCAGCAAAUUGGCAAGGUAGUCCAGGUGCACAGAAAGAAAUAUGUCAUCUACAUCGAGCGGGUGCAGCGUGAGAAGGCCAACGGCACAACCGUCCAUGUGGGCAUUCACCCAAGCAAGGUGGUUAUCACCAGGCUAAAACUGGACAAGGAUCGGAAAAAAAUUCUUGAACGCAAAGCCAAGUCUCGACAAGUCGGAAAAGAGAAAGGCAAAUAUAAGGAAGAACUUAUUGAGAAAAUACAGGAAUAAAUAGAACCUGUUGUGCAACCACAGUUUAACCGGAGAUUUUGAGGCUAGUGUGUGUUUCUUUCGAACUUUUCAGAAUGUCUCUGGAAUAUUUCAUAUCCUGUUUUGCUACCUGUGGCUCUGUAAAUCUACUUUUGCAAUUUCAAUUAAUAAUUUUAUGAUUAAAAAUGGGAAAUGCUUCCUAAUUCCAAAAAAAAAAAAAA